rnacentral:rRNA from 1 species
GAUGAACGCUAGCUACAGGCUUAACACAUGCAAGUCGAGGGCAGCAGGGAUUUAGCUUGCUAAAUUCGCUGGCGACCGGCGCACGGGUGCGUAACGCGUAUCCAACCUUCCCGUUAUCUGGGAUAGCCUUCCGAAAGGGGAGAUUAAUACCGGAUGGUGUUUCAAGUUCGCAUGUAAUUGAAACUAAAGAUUUAUCGGUAACGGAUAGGCUCGCGUGACAUUAGCUAGAUGGCGGGGUAACGGCCCACCAUGGCGACGAUGUCUAGGGGUUCUGAGAGGAAGGUCCCCCACACUGGAACUGAGACACGGUCCAGACUCCUACGGGAGGCAGCAGUGAGGAAUAUUGGUCAAUGGUCGGAAGACUGAACCAGCCAAGUAGCGUGAAGGAUGAAGGUUCUAUGGAUUGUAAACUUCUUUUAUACGGGAAUAAAACCUCCCACGUGUGGGAGCUUGUAUGUACCGUAUGAAUAAGCAUCGGCUAACUCCGUG